UCAGAUAUUAUAUGAAGAAGGAUAUAUAGGAUAUAUCUUUGCAUUAAAAAGAAAACAGAUAAUUGAGCCUGCAUAAAAAUAAAUACAUAAUCCAGGUUUACUCAGUAGAUGUGAACAACUUUACCAGUCCCAUCUUAUACACUGUUUUUACAACUAGAAUCUCACAAUUUUCCUUCAUAUUUCCAUGAAGUUUAUGUAGUUUUAUUGCAUGUAUUCCUAAAUUACUGUAAAUGUUAUAUAAUCUGUAAUUGAACACGCGGUCUGUAUAAGGAAAUGUAGUUUUAAAAAGCAAUCCUUCUUCCUGGAACUUUUGAGGAUCUCUUUUCAAAUUUGUAAUUUUAAUUAAUGAUUCACUAUUUUGUGAUAUUGCUACUGAAUGUAUUGCAGCUGUGAGAAGUACAUGUAUGUGGGAUGAGCUUUCUACUCUUUUCUGUCCCUCCUGAGUACAGCAAAUUCACUGUUUAAUUCUUGGCUGCUGCUUCUACAAAGCUGCCUUUCACUUUAGCUUUGAGCACAGCUGGCUGAUAUCAAGCACGCUGACAGUCGCACAUGGUUAAAGAUACAGGUGUCUACUCUCUACGUCUUAGACCAUUCUUGCAGUUUGUGAGAAAUUAAUUCAUCAGUAGAUGGCAAAUAUUGGAGAUGCUUCAUUCCUAUUCAGCUUUUGACCAUGGUGCUGCUUUCAACACCAAUUCUACCAGUGUGAGCAUAAAACUAGACUUUGGAACAGAAGCACACAACUUCACAGUGCAGAACUCCCAGAAGUAAGCAAAUGAUAAAUUGAACAUACACAAAUGUCAUGUUAUUUGCAAGGAAAAAAAAAAAGUUACGGUUCAGUAUACCAUUAGAUUUUAGCCUCCAAAGCUCUACUUAAAUAGUAAAUUCAUUUUUCAUGGCAGCUCAGGGUUUUCCAGAAUGACUGGAGUGAAAACUCACUAACUUUCUGCAUAGCUUAACAGAAGUUGUGCAUUUAUGGGAAUGUCCUAUUUACCAGAGGGAUAUUUGAAGAUUGGAUUAGCAAUAAUCUAAUUUUUCUCUGCUAAUAUUUUCAUUGUGAUGUAAUAAAUUUAGUCUCUGAGGAAAUUAGAGUAACAUUCAUAGAGGAGGACAGUUUUUUUUUGUGUUUAAAGCGACUGCCCUUCAUCUGUUGUCCAUAAUUCUAAUGCUUCUCCAGGAAACAGGAACAAGUUUCUGAAAAGUUAAGCAAGUGAAAAAGUGUUUGCAUGCUUCUUGUAAGAUACAGGAGAAAGAUAAUUAUUGGCAGUGGUGAUGAUGUGGGAGCUGAAAUUGAGUCUCCUGUUGAAUGUAGAAACUCCUGUAUUUUCUGUGUAUUCCAGUGGAUCUGGACUCUUUUCAAGAUUGAUUUUGAAAGCUGUUCUACUCUAAACUAAAUUUGUAGCAUCAAUAUGCUUAAAAAUAGGAGAAAUUUAGAGGUUCAGAACUUAUUUAUGAAGGUAGGAAAGGGAACCAACAUCUUAAGUGUAACUUUGAACCUCAUUCUGCUUUAUUCUCUUAGUAAAAAAAGGGUCUUUAAUUUGAUCACUUCUCAUUCAGUGAAACAGUCCUUAAUUAAUAAAGCAAACAAACACAGAAAUCAGUGCUUAUUCUGUAUGGAGGGAUUAUUCUGCAUGCAUACAGCAACCGCAGAUGCAGAGAUCAUCAGGGCGUAGCAGAAGAACUAAAGGGGCCUGCAGGGUGGCCCACUUCUUCAGUGAACACAGGGUACUGCUCAUCUGCAGCUACAGAUGUCCUACAAGCUUUUCUGUGGCACUUGUGAUCUGGUAGGAGGUGUCGCCAUAAGAGAAGGGUCAGAAAAAGAAACAGGUCAUCCCAGCUGAAAGACUAAAUUGAGGCAGGUCAAACCUGUGGUGAAAUCAUCCAGUGUACUUCUGGUUUCCUCCAUAGAAGAUAGGAAGCUGAGAAGAAGCCUUCUUGAAAAGGAUACACUGCAAUCAUUUUUGCUUUAUAAAUACUUUCUCAUGUUGUAAACUGUUUUGAAUAAAUCACUAUCACCCCAAAAUGCAAAGAGCUUUCAA